rnacentral:lncRNA from 1 species
GGACGACAAAGCAGUGAAACAAUUCGUCAAGUCGUUGUCUUAAAUGAAGAAUUAUUUAAGCAGCUUCAGUUCAGUUUAAAACUAAGAUGCAGCGUCAAAUUGUCGGCUGUAAACAAGAGGAACCGCAGAUAAGCGUGUUGGAGCUGGAUUGGCUGCGGCCCUCCAGAUACUGAGUUUGAUGCCUGUGCAUCAGAUGGCAACAUGCUUCAAGUCUCUCAGCGUUUCUCCAGCCUCGGUCAUUCAGUAAGACGAGUUUCCUGCUCUCGGCGUCUUUUGUUCUGGUCAUCAAGGAGGGGGGAAUGUUCUGCGCAUGCCUGUGGGGGAGGGAGAAGGACACGUCACUGAAAACGUCCCUGCAUCACACCGAGACACCCAAUCACUCAAGCCGAGACCAGAUAAUUUUGCAUAUGCUUUACAGUUUGAAAAAUACCACGGGGCUGACACUUUCAGCAAAGAUACUGUUCGGGAAUGGGCAUGUUUCUGGGUCACAGCCUGUUCUUUGUCUGCCCUGGAGCCAAGCUGCAGAUCUCAAGCCCAAUGGAGGAGUUGGUAUUAAACAUGCUGUGAUUCCUGUCCAGAUGCAUCCUUGCAUUUUUUGAG